GGAUAACACUUCUUUGACUUUUCUCCCAGACAAAAAAUCUUCUGUCCUUCUGCCAUCAAACCUUUGUACCUGCAUCUCUGUCCAUCAUCCUCACAAAGCAGGCAUCCUUACAUCACUAAGGACCACACCUUUGCACUGCUAUGAUCUCAUCUAUUCUCACCACACCAGUGGCUUCCUUUUUAGAGCACGAGACAACAUCCAGAUUGAAAAGAGCAUCUGUUCCACAUCUCACAUCUCCGGUACCAGCCCGUUUUAUUCUUUCAAGGCAAAGGUCACAAAUACAGAAACAAUUCCUAACCCUCUCUGUCGGUCUGUUCUGCAGCUUCCUCUCCUCCAGGCACUCUACCAAAACUUUUCCAUUUGCCAUUGACCUCCAUGCUACUAACCUAGUGGACACAGUUCUGCCGAGUCCUUCGAUAGCAUCCAGAGCCUACGACACCGGUGCUGUUGUUAAUGAGUGCUGACGACCAUGAUAAUGAGGAUGAAGGCAUGGCAGGUGUUCAAGUGAAGCACAUGGAUUCUGUGUAUUCAGGCUCACAUCCUUGCCUUACACCUGCAGCCGCUUCCCUGGCCCCACAACUCACCACUUUCUAUUUCCUCCUCAUUGUCAUCUUCCAAGAUGCUAGCAGGGGCAGCUGACUCUCCAGCUUCCAUCAUGCUUUUCAAAGCUUCAAGCUGUUCUGUAAGUAACGUCAAACACGGAGAUGAGAACA